rnacentral:lncRNA from 1 species
AGUUGGAACCCCAGUUACCCAUCUACUUUGAGUCCUCCCACCCGUGGUGAGACGGCAUCACCCGGGCCAAUGCAAGGUGAGAGCAAGGACACCUGAGCCAGUGUGGGUUUGAGAGUUUAAUCUGUGCUCUGGCGCCCACAGUGCUGCAGCCCCUCAUGGGCCAGAGACAGGAUGCACGGGGACUCCCAGCCCCUACCCGGCAAGAGAGGCAUCACUGAGGCUGCAUCUGCCAUGCGCUCCUGGUGUGACUGCACCCUGUCAG